UGGGGAAUUUUGCACAAUGGGGGAAACCCAGAUGCAGCGACGCCGCGUGAUUUAGAAGGCCUUCGGGUUGUAAAAAUCUUUUCUAUGGGAAGAAAAUGACAGUACCAUAGGAAUAAGGACCGGCUAAUUACGUGCCAGCAGCCGCGGUAAUACGUAAGGUCCGAGCGUUGUCCGGAAUCAUUGGGCGUAAAGGGUACGUAGGCGGGUAAGCAAGUUAGAAGUGAAAUCCUAUAGCUCAACUAUAGUAAGCUUUUAAAACUGCUCAUCUUGAGGUAUGGAAGGGAAAGUGGAAUUCCUAGUGUAGCGGUGAAAUGCGCAGAUAUUAGGAGGAAUACCGGUGGCGAAGGCGACUUUCUGGCCAUAACCUGACGCUGAGGUACGAAAGCGUGGGUAGCAAACAGG
rnacentral:rRNA from 1 species